rnacentral:rRNA from 1 species
AUUGAACGCUGGCGGCAGGCCUAACACAUGCAAGUCGAGCGGAUGAAGGGAGCUUGCUCCUGGAUUCAGCGGCGCACGGGUGAGUAAUGCCUAGGAAUCUGCCUGGUUGUGGGGGAUAACGUCUGGAAACGGGUGCUGCUACCGCCUACGACGUGCGGGUGCUAGUUGGGGAUCUUCGGACCGCUUGCUAUCAGAUGAACCUAGGUCGGAUUAGCUAGUUGGUGGGGUAAAGGCCUACUUAGUAGGGCAUCCGCAACUGGUCUGAUAGGAUGAUUGGUCACAUGGGAAGUGAGACACGGUCCAUACUCCUACGGGAGGCAGCAGUGGGGAAUAUUGGACAAUGGGCGAAAGUAUGGUCCAGCCAGGCCGAGUGUGUUAAGAAGGUCUUCGGUUUGUAAAGCACUUUAAGUUGGGAUGAAGGGCAGUAAGUUAAGACCUUGCUGUUGUGACGUUACCAGCAGAAGAAGCACCGGCUAACUUCGUG